UGGACUUCUGGACAUGCUAAAGGAAGCGAUGGAGCUGAACAUAAAAAGCUGACACAGCUUGGAGAUGUUGAUAAGAGGCGUGACCAGGCCUCCCAGUGUGACUGAGCAUGUGCAGGACCUGAGCGUGAAUCACAGAGGCCACACCCACAAUCCCCAGGACCAGCAAACGGGAACCCCUGCUGGGGGUAAGGCCUCUCCCGGUGUGGUGUUUAUACUGCCUCUGUGCAUCCCGGUGACCCGAUAAUAAACGUCCUCAUCCUGGAGCUGCAGAGAUCUGCUGACACGCCGCGGCGCUCUGAGAUAUCGUUCCUUAUCAGCAAACAGCAGCAGACUCGUCUUCACGGGAACGCUCUGACUGUAAGGUCGUUGGCUCA